GACAGAGAGAGAGAAUAUGACUGGCGAUAACCUGACACCUGGUCCCUCAAUCACAUGCAAGGCCGGCCCCUCAUGACAUCAAAGCAACAGGAGGCUAAGGAGCACAAACAUUAGCAGGAAGAGAACAAAAAUAAUUCAUAGUGCCUGGGGAAGAGGGGAAGCAGAGGCACACAGUACCCACCAGGGGGUGCACUUCCACACAGCUGACUGAAGUUACGUAUUUAAGCAGGUUUAGGCAUAGAUAUAUAUAUAGAAUGACUAGAUGUAUUAUGACGAGGUCUAGAGCGUCCGCACAGGUCGGCCAUCUUACCACAGGCUGGCUUUCUGGCGGGAUCAUUCGAACCUCAGGUAAACGGAGGUAAGGAAAUUGCUGACAAGAUGCCAGACUUUUGUGCCGCCUAUGUCUGCUGUAACCGCCGUUGUCUCGAAACGAGAACCCGAGGGAUCACCUUUCACCUGUAGGAUGUUACAAUAUUAUGAAUUAUUUUUAGGAUAAUCGUUAGUUACUUAGUGGAAGUAUGUACAUAUUACAUAAUAGUAUUGCUAGAUUGUUGUUGACACAAGGUUUAGAAUAUUUUGUUUAACGUACACCCAUUUUAAAAUCACAUUCCCUCUCUCUGUCUCUCUCUCUCACUUUCUCACAAACACACAUACAGACACAGGGAGAGAAUGUUAACUUUUAUCUAUUAUUUUGUCCGAAUGCACCAGAAUGCUCCGUUUGUAUGUGAAAAUGACACAUUCACCAGCCGCCACUGAUCAUGAGUUAUAGUAAUGCUAACCCACUCUUAUCAGGCCCAGCUGGAUGAGGACCAGAACCAGCGCCACUGGGACACCUUUGUUACUUCGCUAAAUUUUUAAUAAAAAUGUAAAAAAAAAAAAAAUCCAUCAAAUGUCUCUAACACCUCUGUCUAAACAUUGAUUUUAAUAAAUCUUCAAAAAUCUUU